CCGCGUCUCUCCAACCCGGACAACUCGCAACAUGUUGCAAUGGUCUGUUCGACUGUUAGAGACGCUAGAUAAGAAAAUUGGUGGAUUCGCUAACACCGCCGUCCUAUGACCGGAGUUUGAUAGUAGGCCGCUGAACACUU
rnacentral:snoRNA from 14 species